AUUGAACGCUGGCGGCAGGCCUAACACAUGCAAGUCGGACGAGUGGCGGACGGGUGAGUAAUGUCUGGGGAUCUGCCUGAUGGAGGGGGAUAACUACUGGAAACGGUAGCUAAUACCGCAUACCAUCAUAUUUGCCCAAAUGGGAUUAGCUUGUUGGUGAGGUAACGGCUCACCAAGGCGACGAUCCCUAGCUGGGCUGAGAGGAUGAUCAGCCACACUGGAACUGAGACACGGCCCAGACGCCUACGGGAGGCAGCAGUGGGGAAUAUUGCACAAUGGGCGCAAGCCUGAUGCAGCCAUGCCGCGUGUAUGAAGAAGGCCUUCGGGUUGUAAAGUACUUUCAGCGGGGAGGCGUUACCCGCAGAAGAAGCACCGGCUAACUCCGUGCCAGCAGCCGCGGUAAUUC
rnacentral:rRNA from 1 species